rnacentral:rRNA from 1 species
UUGACCUCGGAUCAGGUAGGAAUACCCGCUGAACUUAAGCAUAUCAAUAAGCGGAAAGGUUGAC